UGCGACGCCGCCCGGUCAGUAGCGGCGCUGACGGCGGUGGCCGGUCAGAGCUCUGAGCGGGGCCUGGGCAGCGGCGGGGCCGUAGGACCUCGCGCUGCGUUCGCGGGCUCCGGGGCGGGGGCGGCGGCGGCGAAGCCCCCUCCCCGGGGAGGCGGGGCCUGGGCGAGCUCCCCAGCGGGGGAGCGGCGGCGGCUGGGAAGGAUGCAUCAGAAGCUGCUGAAGAGCGCUCAUUACAUCGAGCUGGGCAGCUACCAGUACUGGCCAGUCCUGGUGCCCCGCGGCAUCCGUCUCUACACCUACGAACAGAUCCCCGUGUCCCUCAAGGACAACCCGUACAUCACCGACGGCUACCGGGCCUACCUGCCCUCCAGGCUGUGUAUCAAAAGUUUGUUUAUUUUAUCUAAUGAGACGGUAAAUAUCUGGAGUCAUUUGCUGGGUUUCUUUCUCUUCUUUACACUGGGAAUAUAUGACAUGACAUCAGUGUUACCUUCGGCAAGUGCAUCCAGAGAAGAUUUUGUAAUUUGUUCUAUUUGUCUUUUCUGCUUCCAGGUCUGUAUGCUUUGCUCUGUGGGCUAUCAUCUUUUUUCUUGCCAUCGAUCAGAAAAAACCUGUCGAAGAUGGAUGGCAUUAGAUUAUGCAGGAAUUUCUAUUGGAAUACUGGGCUGCUAUGUCUCUGGUGUAUUUUAUGCUUUUUAUUGUAAUAAUUACUGGCGUCAAGUGUACUUGAUCACAGUGCUUGCCAUGAUCCUGGCAGUGUUCUUCGCACAGAUCCAUCCCAAUUACCUCACCCAGCAGUGGCAGAGGCUCCGUUCUAUCAUCUUCUGUUCUGUUUCGGGAUACGGAGUGAUCCCAACUCUUCACUGGGUUUGGCUCAAUGGAGGAAUCGGUGCUCCUAUUGUACAGGACUUUGCACCCCGUGUAAUUGUGAUGUAUGUGAUUGCUCUUCUUGCUUUCCUAUUCUACAUUUCCAAAGUUCCAGAACGGUACUUUCCAGGACAACUAAACUACCUCGGAUCAAGCCACCAAAUAUGGCAUAUCCUUGCAGUAGUGAUGUUAUAUUGGUGGCAUCAGUCAACAGUGUAUGUCAUGCAGUACAGACAUAGCAAGCCUUGCCCUGACUAUGUUUCACAUUUGUGAAUUCAGAAUCAGGAAUGAAGAAUUCAGGGACUGUCACAUCUUAUGGCAUCCCACCUGGACAAAGUAACCGAUUUGAAGAUUGUGACUGACUGGCAUAAAGGUGUGCAACUCCAUUUGGCAGGUACCUACCUGGAGAUAUCUUUGCCCUGUACUAAACAUGAAGGGGCAAAGUCUACACUUCUGGAUCCCUGCCAGUUGCUGAGCUGAGUAGGAGUUAAUGCCAAGAGUCCGUCAGAAGUAUCUACUGUUUAGAAGGAAAUGGAGCAGCACCAAAGGGGUCUAAUUCAACUGACUGGGACUGUUGGGACUGAUGUGAAGCGAUGCUUUGCACCACAAGUUCUGUAAAGGGCACGGCACCAAAAUCAUCCAUUUUCAACGCGUCUGCACUAUGGAAUGAGCCAUGCAGAGAACUCGGUCGUGGCCGCCCAGGCAGGACGGGGUUGUGGUCGGCACGGAUGUCACUCAGGCCCUGAUGUGGAGGGUGCCAUGGCAGAUCUGGAGGAUGGAAGGGCUUGGCACCAAAGGGGUCCAACAGAUUCUCCUCGGGUUGCAGGCCGUUCCCUCUGUCUCUCCCGUCGGUCAGUGCAACACUAAUGUUCUCCUUGGAGUCCGAGAUGGUUAAAAAUUCAUUGCUGCUUUGAGAGUCUCGGCGGCCCACCUUUUUGUGCCUGCGAGCCCUCUCUGGAGUGCGGUAGGUAGGCUUCACAGUCUUCUUUGUGCUGGUUGGCGUGCCAUGAUGCCGCUUCCCGUUACUUUUGGACAGAUCCUGCUUGGUGCGCCUUUGGCGAGAAGACAGUUUCUGUAAGCUCCGCUGCUUGACUUUCUGCUGUUGACUCCCAGUUAUUUCCUCAAAGGGCACAAGCCCAAAAAGGUCCUCGCUGCUGUCACUUUUACUUGUUGAUGUGGGAAAAGGCUGAAAUGGAGUGGAGCCAAAUAUAUCUACACUUUUGGGGCCACCAGGGAGAGCAUGUGCCUCAGGACCCACUCCAUGGCAGUCUUGUACACUGACCUUCUUGCUAAAGGGUGCCUUUGUGAAUACGUCAAAUUCCUCCUGCUCUAGACCCACAGCAGGACACAGGGUCUGCUGACAGAAGUUCUUUUCAUUCUCUCCUUGGUGAGGCUGCUGAGGACGCACCGCGAAGAAGGGGACAGCGCCGAACACAUCAAAUUCCAGUUUGGGAGCCUCCACUCCAACAUCGGAGGGUAACCGGGUUGGGGUGAGAAGUGUGUCGGUGGGACCUGGUGCUGAUCCACUGCCAGAUUUGUCUCUGUAGACAGGGCUCACGUCACUGUACUUCACUUUGGCCUGCUCAUAAUCAGAAUCAGAGCUAUGUUUCUCUUCUUCCUCGUCUUCAGAAUCCAUGAGGAGAGGCCUGUGGCCCAGAUUUUCUGGUUCAGUAUCAUCGUCAUUAAAAUCUCCCUGCUCUCCCUGAAGAACUUCCUCAUCCUCCUGUUCCUCCUCUUCACUGCUCUUGGGAGAAGGAGGAUCUGACUCAAAAUCACUUUCAGACUCAUCAUUCCGCUUUUGCACUUGACCCUGUACCAGUGAAUUCUCUGAGGUUUUCUUUCCAGUCCGGUGGUCUUUAGAUACUGGACUUGCUUUUCUAUUCUUGAUAGGGUCUGCAGAACUAUUUUCUUGAUUCGUAGAUGAAUGUUCAGUUUUCUUUUCCGGAGAACCUGAAGGUUCAAAGAAAAAUUAUUAUAGCUUUCUAGUACAUUUCAAGAACCAUUUGCACUGAACAGUAUGCACUAAUACGAGGCAUUACAAAUCCCUCAUACCAGUUCGCUUAGAGGAAGAAAUAGCAUCGAUUCUUUGGUCAUUAGGCUUAGGGAAUGCACUUGUUCUCAACUAGAUGGUUAAGUCCUCUAGCACAGAGAGAUUUCCUGGUCUCUGUACCCUACACACCACCUACUCAUAGGCCCUCAAUACCAGCUAAGUGUUAGUUACAGUACCCAAAGAGGACUCUGAAUAUAGAACACAGACCAAUUUUCUUCACCUUCAAAAUAAGAUUAUUCAACGAAUCGCCUCUACUCAGAAUCCCACAUUUACCUGCUUGUAUUUCUACUCCAUUAUAAAAUUUUCCCAAAAAAGAUCAACAAGCAUGAAUAGCUUGUCUGCUCAGUUAGAUGUUUCACUGGAAUUUUUUUAAUUAGCAUUCUGGUUUCCUUAUAAACGAGUAUCUUAUUAGAUAGGCUAACAUGAGUGCAUCCCCACAAUCUGAUCAAAGCCAAGGACUGGGUACUGAACUGAGUGAGAGUGUACCAAGGACACCUGCCUUCUCAAGAUGACCUAUAUUCCUUUAACUGUCAUAUCUUUACUACUAAACAUUACAUUAAAAGCAUGCUAUCUUAAAAAAAAAAAAAAACUAUCAGUAUGUUCACUGUAUGACGGGUAGUGAAACUGCAUCAAAUAAAUAUAGUGCUUUACAAUUUCAA